GUGUCCAUGUAUUAAGGUUGGUGAUCGCGAUAUUCUUUGGUGUGGGCUCUAUACUUUCUCUGGGUUUCAUUUAAUUGUAAUACAGUAUUGUCUGACACUGUGUCCAUGUAUUAAGGUUGGACCAGAGGAGAGUUGCUUGCGGACUGCCGGCCAUUGACCCUGUCCAAGCGGUGUCGUGUGUGUGAUUGAGAAUCAGAGAACCAGAAGAGCGUCUGGCUUGGCCGUGUCCCGGGAGAACGAGACUGACGCGCACGGUGCUGAAACCAUACGAACCUACCUGGACACCCCAGACAGACAUUUGAACUUUGAGUGCUGGCACUACUUCUAGGAAGCGCAUUUUAAUGUUUUAUAUUUAUUAUCAAUUCCCUGGAGUCGCUAAAUAAAUCUCUUUUAUUAUUAAGAACGGUGUUCUGAUUUCUCUUGCACGUAUUCUGAGCUUUGCGUCUGAGCCUCAACCUCCCUUUUAGGGUGUGUUACAACUGGCGUAGUCGGCAGGAUGUAAAGAAACAGAGUCGUGCAAGAGAAAUUAUGACUGAGCCAGGUAGUUCAACAAGCCCCAGAAUGAUGCCAAUAUACACGGGAAGCAUGAUUAUAUCCAAGUUUCGAGGCAAAGAUUCAGACUGUAGUCUUGGAGAAUGGAAGAGACAGUUAAACACACUAUUUAAUCUCCAAAAGAUUCCGGUCGAAUUCAGAGCUGACUUUACACUUAGCUGCUUGGAAGGGACUGCAAAAACACAAAUUCUAAUUCUACCCCAAGAGAGAAGAAAGACAGCUGAAUUGAUAUUUAAAAAAUUAGAAGAGCUAUACGGAGAUCAAGCCUCUGCCUCGGUCCUGCGCGCCCAGUUUUUUAAUAUCACCCAAGAGCCUCAAGAAGACAUUGAUAGCUUUGCUCUCCGGAUUCAAGAACACUUUGCCAGGCUGAAAAGGAGAGAUGCUCGAGGACUAAGAGACGAGGAUGUCCUGCUCCGUGAUGUUCUCAUCGAUGGCCUAAGAGAUCCAGCCAUGCGGGAGCUCCAACAGGCCUCGCCAAGAAGGGCGCAACAAACAUCGACGCAGGGACGGAAUCAUCAUACACCUGACCGCAGGGCCCCAUGGCGUCCAGCAGCCAAUCAGUAUGACGAGCAAGACACGGGAUCACAAGUAACAUUGAUGAGGGAGAGUUUUUUCCAGGAACAUUUUGGCCAGCAGGGGGCACUACUUGAAGACCCUUCAGCAUGGUUGGCACUACAAGCAGCAAACGGCCUUGCGAUUCCGUACCUGGGGUAUGUACUGUUGGACGUGAAGGACACAGUGAAGUCCUGGUGUGGGGCCGUACCAAGGCUGGCAUUCAGAAACGGGAUUACCAGUGCCUAGUGGAGCCCUUUGGGGAGUCUGAUGUGCUCACCGCUCGAGCAGUAUCAACGGUCAAGCAGGGAAGGUUACCCAUCAGAGUGAGAAACAUAAGCAGCACCCCGGUCUACCUACGACGCCACCAGAAGCUGGCUAAGGCAUUUGUAGUGGAACCAGUAGACAUUGUACAAGACACGGAUGUGAGUAUGUCCAGAGUGGGGGAACAGGUGGUACAGGUUAGCUUAACGCAAGUAAAACAAGACCUAAAGGACCGGCCCGCCCUAGUGGAUGUUAACAACAUUGAUAUCUCCCCAGCCCAAAGACUGAAAUUACUGUUACACAAGCAUCAGGCUGUGUUCUCUUGUCAUGACGAGGACUAUGGGAAGACGAGCACCAUACAGCAUGUGAUCCCGACAGGAGACGCCGCACCUGUGAGAGGACGCCACAGUCAUGUGCCUCGCCACCUGUACCAGGAAGUGAAAACCCUCAUUCAAGCAGACUAACUAGCCAUGGACUCAAAUUGAAACCUAGCAAGUGUUGCCUGCUGCGACAGGAAGUCCAGUACUUGGGCCAUCGGGUGUCAAACAAAGGGGUGUCUCCAGAUCCUGACAAGGUGAAGUGUGUGCAGGGCUGGCCGACCCCCAUGACGGUAAAAGAACUGCGCUCAUUUCUAGGCUUAGCGGGCUACUACCGCCGCUUUGUUAAAGACUUUGCCAAGAUUGCCAGCCCCUUACAUGAACUGCUAACAGGGCUAGGUCCAACACAGAGUAGUAAAAAGAGGCCUUCUCAUGCCCUCACUGGCUGGAACCACACAUGUGAUGUAGCUUUUGCUACCCUAAAGGAGGCCUUAACCACUUCCCCCAUUUUAGCAUUUGCUGAUUUCACACUGCCUUUUGUACUCUAUACAGAUGCCAGCAACAGAGGCCUGGG